CCUACGGGUGGCAGCAGUGGGGAAUAUUGCACAAUGGGGGAAACCCUGAUGCAGCGACGCCGCGUGAGUGAGGAAGUAUCUCGGUAUGUUAAGCUCCAUCAGUAGGGAAGAAAAUGAAGGUACCUGACUAAGAAGCCCCGGCUAACUACGUGCCAGCAGCCGCGGUUAUAUGGAGGGGGCCAGCGUUAUCCGGAUUUACUGGGUGUAAAGGGAGCGUAGUCGGUUAAUCAAGUCAGAAGUGAAAACCCAGGGCUCAACCUUGGGACUGCUUUUGAAACUGAGUAGCUUGAGUGCAGGAGAGGUAAGCGGAAUUCGUGGUGUAGCGGUGAAAUGCAUAGAUAUUAGGAAGAACACCAGUGGCGAAGGCAGCUUACUGGACUGUAACUGACGUUGAGGCUCGAAAGCGUGGGGAGCAAACAGGAUUAGAUACCCCUGUAGUC
rnacentral:rRNA from 1 species